rnacentral:tRNA from 1 species
GCCCUCGUGGUGUAGUGGUCAGCACGCUCGAUGCGUAAACGAGAGGUCCGUGGUUCAAUUCCCGGCGAAGGCG